rnacentral:tRNA from 1 species
UGGAAUAUAAUUCAAUGGUAGAAUGCCUCUCUGAUACGGAGGUUACAUAAGUUCGAUUCUUAUUAUUCCAA